AUUGAACGCUGGCGGCAGGCCUAACACAUGCAAGUCGAACGAGUGGCGGACGGGUGAGUAAUGUCUGGGAAUCUGCCUUAUGGAGGGGGAUAACUACUGGAAACGGUAGCUAAUACCGCAUACCAUCGGAUGAGCCCAGGUGGGAUUAGGUAGUGGGUGGGGUAAAGGCUCACCAAGGCGACGAUCCCUAGCUGGUCUGAGAGGAUGACCAGCCACACUGGAACUGAGACACGGCCCAGACUCCUACGGGAGGCAGCAGUGGGGAAUAUUGCGCAAUGGGCGCAAGCCUGACGCAGCCAUGCCGCGUGUAUGAAGAAGGCCUUCGGGUUGUAAAGUUCUUUCGGUAGGGAGGCGUUAACUACAGAAGAAGCACCGGCUAACUCCGUGCCAGCAGCCGCGGUAAUAC
rnacentral:rRNA from 1 species